rnacentral:rRNA from 1 species
AGCCACGAUCUUCGAUCCAUUACGAGUACUGAUGUAGCGGACGCCUGAUUCGCCCUUGGAUCCUGACUUUGAUUAUGGCUCAGGACGAACGCUGGCGGCGCGCCUAACACAUGCAAGUCGAACGGAGUUAAGAGGAGCUUGCUUUUCUUAACUUAGUGGCGAACGGGUGAGUAACGCGUGAGUAACCUGCCCUGGAGUGGGGGACAACAGUUGGAAACGACUGCUAAUACCGCAUAAGCCCACGGCCCGGCAUCGGGCUGAGGGAAAAGGAUUUAUUCGCUUCAGGAUGGACUCGCGUCCAAUUAGCUAGUUGGUGAGGUAACGGCCCACCAAGGCGACGAUUGGUAGCCGGACUGAGAGGUUGAACGGCCACAUUGGGACUGAGACACGGCCCAGACUCCUACGGGAGGCAGCAGUGGGGGAUAUUGCACAAUGGGGGAAACCCUGAUGCAGCGACGCCGCGUGGAGGAAGAAGGUUUUCGGAUUGUAAACUCCUGUCGUUAGGGACGAUAAUGACGGUACCUAACAAGAAAGCACCGGCUAACUACGUGCCAGCAGCCGCGGUAAAACGUAGGGUGCAAGCGUUGUCCGGAAUUACUGGGUGUAAAGGGAGCGCAGGCGGACCGGCAAGUUGGAAGUGAAAACUAUGGGCUCAACCCAUAAAUUGCUUUCAAAACUGCUGGCCUUGAGUAGUGCAGAGGUAGGUGGAAUUCCCCGGUGUAGCGGUGGAAUGCGUAGAUAUCGGGAGGAACACCAGUGGCGAAGGCGACCUACUGGGCACCAACUGACGCUGAGGCUCGAAAGCAUGGGUAGCAAACAGGAUUAGAUACCCUGGUAGUCCAUGCCGUAAACGAUGAUUACUAGGUGUUGGAGGAUUGACCCCUUCAGUGCCGCAGUUA